GAUGAACGCUGGCGGCGUGCCUAACACAUGCAAGUCGAGCGAACGGACGAGAAGCUUGCUUCUCUGAUGUUAGCGGCGGACGGGUGAGUAACACGUGGAUAACCUACCUAUAAGACUGGGAUAACUUCGGGAAACCGGAGCUAAUACCGGAUAAUAUUUUGAGCCGCAUGGUUCAAAAGUGAAAGACGGUCUUGCUGUCACUUAUAGAUGGAUCCGCGCUGCAUUAGCUAGUUGGUAAGGUAACGGCUUACCAAGGCAACGAUGCAUAGCCGACCUGAGAGGGUGAUCGGCCACACUGGAACUGAGACACGGUCCAGACUCCUACGGGAGGCAGCAGUAGGGAAUCUUCCGCAAUGGGCGAAAGCCUGACGGAGCAACGCCGCGUGGGUGAUGAAGGUCUUCGGAUCGUAAAACUCUGUUAUUAGGGAAGAACAUAUGUGUAAGUAACUGUGCGCAUCUUGACGGUACCUAAUCAGAAAGCCCCGGCUAACUACGUG
rnacentral:rRNA from 1 species